CGCGUAGGCGGAUGUUUAAGUCAGAGGUGAAAGCCCAGGGCUCAACCUUGGAAUUGCCUUUGAUACUGGACAUCUUGAGUACGGGAGAGGUGAGUGGAACUCCGAGUGUAGAGGUGAAAUUCGUAGAUAUUCGGAAGAACACCAGUGGCGAAGGCGACUCACUGGCCCGUUACUGACGCUGAGGCGCGAAAGCGUGGGGAGCAAACAGGAUUAGAUACCCUGGUAGUCCACGCUGUAAACGAUGAGUGCUAGUUGUCGGCAUGCAUGCAUGUCGGUGACGCAGCUAACGCGUUAAGCACUCCGCCUGGGGAGUACGGUCGCAAGAUUAAA
rnacentral:rRNA from 1 species